rnacentral:rRNA from 1 species
CCUACGGGUGGCAGCAGUGGGGAAUAUUGCACAAUGGGGGAAACCCUGAUGCAGCGACGCCGCGUGAGUGAAGAAGUAAUUCGUUACGUAAAGCUCUAUCAGCAGGGAAGAAAAUGACGGUACCUGAGUCAGAAGCCCCGGCUAACUACGUGCCAGCAGCCGCGGUAAUACGUCGGGGGCAAGCGUUAUCCGGAUUUAUUGGGUGUAAAGGGAGAGUUGACGGGGCGCCAAGUAUGGAGUGAAAUGCCGCGGCUUAACUGCGGAACUGCUUUGGAAACUGGCGAACUAGAGUGCGGGAGGGGUAAGCGGAAUUCCUAGUGUAGCGGUGAAAUGCGUAGAUAUUAGGAGGAACACCGGUGGCGAAGGCGGCUUACUGGACCGUAACUGACGUUGAGGCUCGAAAGCGUGGGGAGCAAACAGGAUUAGAUACCCUGGUAGUC